UCAACCUACUUCUUUCAAAGAGCACAAAAUUUUCUUUGCCUUUUUCUUUGAACAAAGAAAGUUCAAAAAUCCCAGCAACUUAAUUUUGGGCUAUUUUCAAAGAUGGGUUUUGGAAAGUCUAGCACUAUUUUGAUGAUGAUCGUUGUAAUCUUGGUGGCCAUUUCGUACCAUUCUGGGGUUGAGGCAACCAGGCUGUUAAAUGAGGAUUUUGCUAGUGGUAAUCAACAUCAGACAUACUCAGCAAUUUACGAGAAGGCAAAGUUCACCAUGGAGUUUUGGCUUCAAAAGUUGCCAUCAGGUCCUAGUCCUAGUGGCCCUGGUCAUUAAUUCAUUGAAUUCAUGACAUGCCCAAUUAUACAACUACAAGCAUAUAAUAUAUACACUGAUUUAUAG